GCCUGCUCUCUCUGCAGGAGUAGAUGCCAUCUCUACCGUAUCACUUGGUGAAAGUCGCGAAAUCCUCCUUUGGCUGCUUUCAGCUAAAGCUGGAAUGCCAGUAUAUACAGAUGUGAAAAGCCAAUAUUCCAGCCACACUGCUACAGUGUUCCAGACUGCUAAAGUCAUAGCAGAGGCUUUAACUGAUAUAAAGCUCAUUAUGAAGCCACUGAUAACAGGAGCAAGAAGCUUGCAGGUUAAAUCAAUUCGUCUAAUAGUUGAGUUGAUCUUUGUUAGUACAUCAGGCGUAUGGCCUUCUGAAAUCAACACCACCCUGCAUUUUGAAAAGAAGUAUCGUCAAAUUAGAAAAUGUAAACUCACAAGACAAAUUUUGAUCACAACUCCAAUAGACUAACGGUAGUCCAUUCGCUAAUAUUACUCUCUCUUCAAAGUAUAAAUACAGUUCUCCAAAUUACCAUUCUCUUUCUAUUAAGAUGGUACCGGCAAGAGUGGAAAGCACACCAAUAGCUCCAGAGAUGUUGGUUAAUAUCACAAGCAAAAUGAAUACUGUGAAAUUUGUCGACUUCAAUGCCGGAGAGAACAGUAAUGUGAUUACCGUGCAUCCAGCUAUUAUGAAGGAAAAAUUCUGGGUCACCAACCAAAUUCGGAGAACCUGCCAAUAAAUGUUCUCUGAGAGAAUAUACAUGUAUGAGAAGGCAACAACAUCAGGUACUUUGUAAUGUUUAUUUGUUAUAUUUUCUUGUUUUGUCAUACAGACGAACACAUCAUGAGUUGAUUGAGGGCAUUUCAGAUGGUGAUUACUUGAAAGGCAUCCCCGAUUUUACCAUUAGAGGAGACAAGAACUGAUGUUGAAAGCAAUUAAAUUCGAUAAAAAGAACAUGGUUCAUUCAACCUGUCCAAGGGUAGUGAUGAAGCAAUCAUGAUUCGAAUCCUAGUACUAUUGUAUGAGGUUAAAACUAUCAUAAACUUUGAGUAAAUUCGCAAUUUCAGAACCGGAUAUCUAGAAAUGUGAACAUUUUAUAAAGCACAAUUUGUCUUUUCUCCAUUAGGAUGGACAUUAUUAACAAGGCAUGACCAAACCUUAAAAUAUGCCGACCUCUGCACCCAUUGUCCGAUGAUGGGACCNNNNNNNNNNNNNNNNNNNNNNNNNNNNNNNNNNNNNNNNNNNNNNNNNNNNNNNNNNNNNNNNNNNNNNNNNNNNNNNNNNNNNNNNNNNNNNNNNNNNUGAAUUAGCUCACCAAUUUGGUUUUCAAGGGAAAAAACAGACAAACAAAGAAAAAAUCUUAAUUCUGUCAUCCUUUUCCCUCGUCAAGAAAAUCUUAGUUGAGAAAAUACAAGGGAAAAGUCACAAUUUUACACAACCACAUACCAAUACACACAAUAGAGAGCUAGCUAGCAACUACAGGAUAAAAGACAAAUAUUCCGAGGGAAUUGCGAUAUAACCUGGCAUCCCAUCUUGCUAAAAAGUGGCCAAUAUACAAAAUUCUGAUAAGGGAUGUAGGCAAAGAAGAGUCUUGGGAAGAAGAAGAUUCUUGUUGUUGCUGUUGAUCAAGACGUGGCUCUCUCACCAUCGUCUUCUUUUAUUUCAGUUUCUUUAUUUUUUUCCACUAAAUCCACCCGCCUUCGAACCUCCUAAGUCCUAGGGCUAGCUUUGAAUCUUUUAGCCCUGAUUAUCAUGCUAACUGUUAACUGCUAACUAACUGUGUUAAUUGCAAACGCGUGGACAGUACGAUGCUUUGCCGGCCAUGCAUGAAGAUGAUUUUUAGAUCGUUAUUAUGAAACACGGCCCGCCCGGUGAGUCACCUGGGACUCGGUGGCUGGACCGGUCCGAGUAAGAUAAAAGAUCGGCCAGUAUAACAAACCGGCAAAACCUGGUCGACCCAGUGGGUCGAACCAUGACCCGGGUGAACCCGGACGAGACCCGAUGUUUUUUUUUCAAAUGUGGUUUUUCUUCUAUACCUUUCUUUUUUCAUAUUUUUUUAGUUGGUAAUUAACACUUUUAAAGUUUACUAUAUAAAUACUAGAAAAAUAUUUUUUUUUUCAAUGUGAGAUUUUUUAAUAUAUAUACUUUAUGUUCACAAGAAAGAAAUUAUUUUUUCAAUAUGGAAUUUGAAGCCCUUUACUAUAUAUACUUUAUGUUCACAAGAAAAAAAUUAUGUUUUUUCAAUAUAGGAUAAAAAAAAUUUAGUUUAAAUAUUUCAACUUAAAAUGAUAACAUAGUAUUUUUUCAAUGUGAGAUAAAAAAUAUUUAAAAUAUUCUUUUAAACUUCAUUAUUUACAACAUAUAUAACCUAUAUUUAUUCUUAAUUUUUUCAUAUGAAAUAUUAAACUUUAAAUAUUUUUUUUCAGGUUGACCCAUGAAACUCAGGACCCAACCCCUUGACCGGGUCAACCUUCAGGUUGGGUUUGAUAACUAUGAUACCAUUAAUUAAUUAAUGAUGGUUACUAGACUGAAAGCAGAGACAUGCCGUAGAAGCAUAUAAAUUUUUUUUUCUUCCUUUUCAACGGAUUAUUUUUGUAAAAAAUUAUUUUUUUUAUUUUUUUACUUUAAAUUAUUUUUUUUUUGUGUUUUCAAAUCGUUUUGAUGUGCUGAUGUUAAAAAUAAUUUUUUUUAAAAAAAUAAUAUUAUUUUGAUGUAUUUUUAGGUGAAAACAACUUUAAAAAUUAACCAUUACCACACUUCCAAACACUUACUAAAAAACAAUACAUGAGUUGUUGGAUUAUUGAAUUAAUAGUUUUUAUUUAAAAAGUAGUAUUUUAUUUUAUUUAAUUUUUUAGAGUUAAUAAUAUUAGAUUUAACCGAUUAGUUUAAUUAGAAAUUCAAUCAUAGUCAGGCUUUAAAUCCUGAUUGUUCAGGAUUAAUCUAUUCACCUAGCCCAAGUUUAUUAACUAUGUCUAAAAAAUCACUAAAAGAAUGUUUGGUAAGAUGAAUUUUAGAUGCUUAUCCUAUGCUCAAGAAAUAUGAUUAUUUAAAGAAAUAAUAUUACUAUAUUUUUAAUGUGUUUGGUUCAUUAAUGUAAUUAUAUAAAACUCAAAUAAAAUUAUUUUCUUAAAUUUAAAAUUUAAAAUAGCUAAAUUUGAUAUUUUACUUUUUUUUAUAUGAUUAAAAGAAUAUAAAUUAAUUUUUUUCUUAAAAAUAAAAAAAAAUCACAAAAUUUUUAGAAAGAAAAGGAUAAUUACUGAUAAAAUUAUAAGAACUCCGCAUAAUUGGCAAUUGCUAAAAUAAAAACUUAGUUUCGUUUGACAUGCAAGCUAUCCCGUGAAUAUUCUUCACAGAUAAAUAAUAAAAAAGGAUCGGUGAAGUCCUAAUAUAUAUAAAUUGAAUUUUUUUAUUUAUUAAUCAUUAUUAUAGAUUUAUGUUAGUAGGUCACCAUGGUCGAACCACAAUAUUCUCUGUUGUCCUCCUAUAAUCCUAUUAUUUAUUUAUUUUCCACUGCUCAAAAUUUAAUAAAUGCCCUGCUGUUCCUGGCAACAAAAGGAGGAUAAUAUCCCCACCCAGAAGACCAAAGUAUUUGAUAAGUUAUUCCGGGGCCUAAUCUCUGAGGAAUCUCAGUAACUUGGCGUCAGAGCGGCAGGCUGUAGGGAUGAAUCCUACCUAGGAAUAUUUGGUUCCAGUAAAUUUUGAUGCGAAGGUGACAUGAUCUCCCAUUUCAACAACAUGAACAGCUUCUCAAAGUGAAAAAGGUGCUUUCUAACUCGAUAUAGAUGUAUGCUGUAAAGCAAUGCAGCAACUGUUACUGCUGAAAAGGACAAUAUGAUCAACUCCCAGAAAUCCUGAACAACAAUGCAGGUUAAGUUAAUAUACAUCAAAGUAUGAAAUCAGGAAGGAAGAUAAGAAUUCUGAUUCAAAUAUCCAGUGAAACAGGAAAGUUUAAUGCUUGAAAGAUGUAUGAUCCAAGGAUGAUUACCCGAGGGUUGGAGAUGAUUAUGCCCAUAACAUAACCCAACAAGUCCAUAAAAGACUGAACAGAAUUCUGAACACCUCCCACAACCAGACGAUCAGGCUCGGGAACUUGAUCCUGUGCCGGCGAAAAUGAAAAGAGUUGAUUAGUAUGCCUUCUUUAAGGCACGAUAAACUUGAUCGGCAGGCAUAAAAAGAGGUGAUCUAGGAAAACACUAACAGAAUUCAUUGUUCUUUUAGCAUGAUAGGUUUUCUUACCUGCAUUUGUUGGAUUACAGAUAAGUCAAACAUCCAUAAGCCAAGCCUAGAGAUAGCUACUCCAGCCAUCAGCAUGUAUGCUGAUAAAAGAUGAUUUUGGACCCAUAUUGAAGCAAUGCACACUAGAAGGCAGGUCCACUGCUUGCAAUGCACAGAAUAAGGAGGAGGGACAGUGAUUAGUAGAAAGAAUUACUUUCAGAUGAUCAUAAUUACUAAGAAAUGUACCUGAGACCAGAUUGACCAGAGUCCUGUUCUGAGAAUUGAAAUACGAGAUUGCAAGAUUGGGUACACAACCGUCGCGGCUAUUCCAAUCAUAGCGCUUAUUCCACGGGCUAUUCCGAUCACAUAUGCAGGUAUACCUUCCCAUUCCAAGGCAGCUGUCAUCAAGGUUCCAAAGCUGGAAAAAUGUGAUCAUUAGUAAGUUGUAACAGUAAGGAACUAAACCCAAAUCAUAUGAGAUAAUGGAGCAAACAGAAAAAAACUGUCUCAGGUCAGUAUCUCAUGGCAGUAGUCACAGUCUCUGAUGCUGUUCAGUUAUUAGUCAAAAACACAAAAUCAUAAGCGGGGCAUUACCUAAGCACUGUGAAAUAUAACAAGGCCAGAGAUACACCAGGGAGCAGAACAUCUUGCUGUAAAUACACAAGCCAAGCACCGACAAAAGGAACCUUUGAAAAGCUCUGAGUUAAUCUCCUUCUCCAUCCCAAAUCCACCGAAACCGAAUUUUCGCUUCCUGGAGAAAUCAAGCCCUCUCUUUCUGGAGAAAUAGACGUGAUCUCUUCCAUAUCACUUCGUGAAAGUCGUGAAAUCCUCCUUUGGCUACUUUCAGUUAAAGCUGGAAUGCCAUUAUGUACAGAUGUGAAAANNNNNNNNNNNNNNNNNNNNNNNNNNNNNNNNNNNNNNNNNNNNNNNNNNNNNNNNNNNNNNNNNNNNNNNNNNNNNNNNNNNNNNNNNNNNNNNNNNNNCCUCUCUUUCUGGAGAAAUAGACGUGAUCUCUUCCAUAUCACUUCGUGAAAGUCGUGAAAUCCUCCUUUGGCUACUUUCAGUUAAAGCUGGAAUGCCAUUAUGUACAGAUGUGAAAAGCCAAUAUUCUAGCCACACUGCUAUAGUGUUCCAGAUUGCUAAAGUCAUAGCAGAGGCUUUAACUGAUACAAAGCUCAUGAUGAAGCCACUUAUAACAGGAGCAAGAAGCUUGCAGGUUAAAUCAAUUCGUCUAAUA
rnacentral:lncRNA from 1 species